rnacentral:lncRNA from 1 species
AUAGUACAGCCAGGGAAGCUGCCCAAGGAACAGAAGCUGAAGCUGUAGAAUGAUCAUGGGCGAGAGGUUUUAUUUAGAAUCUGCUCAUGUUUGCCUAAUAAAUGUAGCAGCCACAGCAAAUGAAAUUCUUAAAAUCUUAGUAUUAACAGGUAUUGAUUCAUUUACCAUUAUUGAUGAAAAUCAGGUCAGCACAGAAGGUGGUGGAUACAUUACUUUUUCCUUCAAACGAGCAGUAUCACAAGAACUGAGCUUGAGUUACCAUGGAAUUCUUAUAAUUAAAGAUGCCUCUACAACCUUUGUGGAAAAGUCCAGAAAACCUUCCAAACAGUGAUCUUUUGUUUUCCUGUAUUUUCACCACUGUGGUUGCGAUUUGGCUUCCUGAAAGUACAUUACGAUGCUUCCUGAUGUCCUCAGGAAUUCUCAAAUCCCUCUUUUAAACUUUAAGACAUAUAGACCAGUUGGCCAUAGAAGGAUCAUUUUAAAAGAAUACACAAUAAUAGAAUUUUACCCAGAUAGUGUAUUCAAGAUCUGUGACUGGAUAAAUUGUUUUCUGAGCUGAGAGAAUAUUUCAGUCUUAUAUUUUAGAUCAUAUGUUAAAAAAACCAUAGCCAUACCCCAAAGAUUGUGAUCACAGCUAAAUAUUUAGUACAGUAGAGUAGUAAAACAAAUGGGUGAAUAUCUAAAAUGUAUGAAGAAAAAGAGCACUUCAGAGAUUUGAUUAUACAAAAGAUUCUAAAUAGUACAAAUAGGACUUCAGAAGAUGAAAAGAAUUCUGAAGAAACUAUUAAAAAUAUGAACAUGGCAAUAAAUACUACUUAGAUACCAAACAAUAUUUAAGAUAUAUUUAAUAAUAAUUUCUGAAUAAAUAUCAGCAAACAGACUUCAUCCUUUGGGGUUUUGGCUUAUGCCUUAAAGGAAUUUGUGGCCAAGGAAGGUCAAGGAAAUUUACCUAUUCAAGAACAAUUUCUGACACAAUUGCCAACUGGAAAAAAUAUAUAAAUACACAAAAUAUUUACUGUGUGAAAGCAAAUUAAUAUGUUUCCCCUGUGAAUAAAUCAUGCCAACAAAAUGCUGCAGUCCAUAGACCAGGUGACCAAUGACAUUGCAAAGAAAGAAUUAAAAUUACUCUGUAGCAAUUCUUCAUUUCUUAGAGUCUGAAGAUGUGAAUCCUUUACUGAAGAAUAUGGUUUGGAUACAAUUAACGGGAAUAAAAUCUUUUCCAGCAUGGGCACGGCAGAUAAUGAAAUAGUAUUGUACUUAAUAUUAUGGACUAGUGAUAGAUUUUAUAUGCAACAAUAUAGAUGUCCAUGGAUAUCUAACUAUCAAGUUGAAGAAAAUUUAGGAAAGUGAAAGUCUUGUUUUACUGGUUUCCUUCAGGAAUAUAGAUUCUCUAGUCACAGAUUUUGUAAAAAUGGAGCUGUUGAGAAACACACUAUUGAUUCCUGAGAGGAGGUGCUACUCAAAAGAUUAUCGAAAUACUCACUAAACAAUUAGUAAUUGUUAAUAACAUAUUUAUCUUGGCAUGUCACAAACUCCAGCAACUUCUCAGUUG